rnacentral:rRNA from 1 species
CCUACGGGUGGCAGCAGUAGGGAAUCUUCCACAAUGGGCGAAAGCCUGAAGGAGCAACGCCGCGUGGGUGAAGAAGGUCUUAGGAUCGUAAAACCCUGUUGUUAGAGAAGAAAGUGCGUGAGAGUAAAGGUUCACGUUUAGACGGUAACUAACCAGAAAGCCACGGCUAACUACGUGCCAGCAGCCGCGGUAAUACGGAGGAUGCGAGCGUUAGUCGGAUUUAUUUGGUUUUAAGAGUGCGCGGGCGGAAGCGCCAAGUCAGCGGUAAAAUUGCGGGGCUCACCCUCGCCGAGCCGUUGAAACUGCUCUUCUAGAGUGGGCGAGAAGUAUGCGGAAUGCGUGGUGUAGCGGUGAAAUGCAUAGAUAUCACGCAGAACUCCGAUUGCGAAGGCAGCAUACCGGCGCCCAACUGACGCUCAUGCACGAAAGCGUGGGUAUCGAACAGGAUUAGAUACCCCAGUAGUC